CACGUAGGGUGCGAGCGUUGUUCGGAUUUACUGGGCGUAAAGGGCGCGUAGGCGGUCAGCACAAGUCAGUUGUGAAAUCUCCGGGCUUAACUCGGAAAGGUCAACUGAUACUGUGCGACUAGAGUGCAGAAGGGGCAACUGGAAUUCUCGGUGUAGCGGUGAAAUGCGUAGAUAUCGAGAGGAACACCUGCGGCGAAGGCGGGUUGCUGGGCUGACACUGACGCUGAUGCGCGAAAGCCAGGGGAGCGAACGGG
rnacentral:rRNA from 1 species